AUUGAACGCUGGCGGCAGGCCUAACACAUGCAAGUCGAGCGGGGUUUUCGGACCUAGCGGCGGACGGGUGAGUAAUGCGUAGGAAGCUGCCCGAUCGAGGGGGAUACCAGUUGGAAACGACUGUUAAUACCGCAUAAUGUCUACGGACCAAAGUGUGGGACCUUCGGGCCACAUGCGAUCGGAUGCGCCUACGUGGGAUUAGCUAGUUGGUGAGGGAAUGGCUCACCAAGGCGACGAUCUCUAGCUGGUUUGAGAGGAUGAUCAGCCACACUGGAACUGAGACACGGUCCAGACUCCUACGGGAGGCAGCAGUGGGGAAUAUUGGACAAUGGGCGCAAGCCUGAUCCAGCCAUGCCGCGUGUGUGAAGAAGGCCUUCGGGUUGUAAAGCACUUUCAGCGAGGAGGAAGGGAUGUAUGUUAAUAGCAUGCAUUUUUGACGUUACUCGCAGAAGAAGCACCGGCUAACUCUGUGCCAGCCGCCGCAGUAAAAC
rnacentral:rRNA from 1 species